UUAUUAUUAUGGGAGGCAUUUUAGAAGUUGCCAAGUUAGUUGUCACAGUGUGGCUGCACGAAUAUUGGCCACGUGUAAAAACUUCAAUGAAAAUCUAUCUCACUGGUGCAGUUGUCACACUGAUGUUCAUAACCAGUAUGGGUAUUUUUGGGUUUCUUUCAAAAGCACACAUAGAACAACUGCACAACAGGCGAAAAUGU
rnacentral:rRNA from 1 species